AAUUCUUUUUAGUAAUAAUACGUAGUACAUCGACCUACACUAUACACCUACGUGGCCGGCGGCUCAACCCAAUUAUCACAUGCGUGUGCGGCUGUGCGCCGCCGCUACACUCGCCGGCGACGAGCCUUCGUUUCGGCUCAGAGAAACAGACAGACAUGCAGAGUCCAGAAAUCCAACAGAGAAACAGGGCUCCGACCCACUCGCGCGCUGGUUCGCUGGCACCGCGCGUCCCUCGCCACCUCCGCACCGCCGCCGCGCUCGCGGCCGCGGUGCAGGGCCUCAUCGACGCGUCCCCUGCGCGGGGCGAGUCGCAGACCAUCCACGCGCAGCUCCUAGCGUCGGGACUCGUCGGCAGUGCCGACCUCUCUGUCAAGCUCCUCGUUCUGCACAUACGGUGCGGCUCCCUGCACAAUGCCCGCGCCGUGUUCGACGGAAUGCCGAGCCGGAGCCGCGCCGCGCACAACUACCUCAUCGCGGGAUACUUCCGGCGGGGCCGCCCCGCAGAGGCGCUGGGGAUCUUGCGGCGGCUCGCGGCGUCCACGGGGCGGCUGGACGUCUUCGCGCUGUCCAUGGCGCUGAAGCUGUCUGCGGCGCUGGCUCUGCCCGGCGUCGUCGCCAGGGAGGCCCACGCGCGCGCGCUGAGGUCCGUCGAACAGUCCGACGAUAUCCUGUUCGCGGCCCUGGUGGAUGCCUACGUGAAGAGCGGGUUGCUUGGCUACGCGCGGCGGGUGCACGGCGCAAUGCCCGUGCGGAGCGUCGUGUGCUCCACGGCACUGCUCGUCGGGUGCAUGCAGGAAGGGCUGUUCGAGGACGCUGAGGCGAUAUUCAACGAGAUGGAGGGGAAGGACGUCGUGGCGUACAACGCCAUGGUGGAGGGGUACAGCAAGACGGAAGAGACGGCGGAGGGCUCGCUCGAGGUGUUGAAGGCGAUGCAGCGAGCGGGGCUUCGUCCCACGGUAUCGACAUUCGUGAGCGUGCUCGGGGCCUGCUCACUCUUGUCGUCGCCAGAGCUCGGCGAGCAGGUGCAUUGCCAGGGGACGAAAAGCGGCCUAGUCUUGGACAUCAAAGUUGGAAGCGCUCUGGUCGACAUGUAUGCCAAGUGUGGACGGGUGGAAGACGGCCGUAGGAUCUUCAACCAGAUGGCAGAGAGAAACGUGAUUACCUGGACUUCGAUGAUCGACGGGUAUGGGAAGAACGGCCUCUCUGACGAGGCCCUCCAGCUGUUUGGCGAAAUGCGGGAGCGGCGAGACGUGAGGCCGAACCAUGCCACCUUCUUGAGCAUUCUGUCGGCGUGCGCACACGCUGGGCUGCUGUCCCAGGGCCAGGAGGCUUUCCAGAGCAUGGAGAGUGAGUACUUGCUGCAGCCACGGAUGGAACACUACGCAUGCAUGGUGGACUUGCUGGGUAGAUUCGGAGGCGUGCGGCAGGCCUAUGAUUUCGUCCGAGGUAUGCCGGUGAGGCCAAACUCUGAUGUGUGGGCUGCGCUGCUCGGGGCGGCUACACUGCACGGGGAUAUGGACAUCUGCAAAGUUGCAUCGAGGGAGGUCUUCGAGCUGAGCCGCAAGGGGAGACCGGGCGCCUACAUGGCAUUCUCCAACACACUUGCGGCAGCUGGGGAGUGGGACGGCGUGCACGACGUUAGGGAGAUGAUGAAACAGCGAGGCGUGCUGAAAGACACUGCUUGCAGUUGGGUCGGUUCUGAGAACCCGCCACUCGUCGACUGAUGUACAGGAACGUUUACGGUUGAUAAGAGUGAACGCAGACACAAGGCACCAGAGAGAACCAGAACAGUUAUGAAGCAUGGACAAGUUGUCUUGUUCUAAUUAUUGGAAUAUAUGUAGUUUUCCAUUUAUCAAACGCUUCAAUCGAGUGGCGCACCGACAAUCAAGGCCAGUGAGAUGUCUUUUCUGGAUUACAAAAGUCGAUAAGCAGGUCAGCAUAUGUACUAGGCAACAAAGUGUUAUUUAGAAUGGUGGACCCAUGCUGUCUAAUUGUUUCCUUCCUCGUAGAGGAUAAUGCAAAUAUGCUGAUCGCAAUGGUGGAUGCAGUGACAAAUUUUAUCUUCUGCUGACCGAGAAACAUUCCAUGUUUUGCAUUUGGAAUGAACAAAUGUGGAGGUUUGGAAGUGCAAAAUAUCUGAACACUAGAAAGCAAACUGAAUGCAGUGAUAUAUUUUCUUUCCGUGGAUUAUUUUAAUCAUGAAUAAACGACAUUUUUGUCUCUUC